AGCUCUCUGUGUCUCCAUCAUGGUUGAUUCCUGGAGCUUCAGUCACUCUGAUCUGUCACACUGAGCCUCCGUCAGCAGGGUGGAGCUUCUACUGGUUCAAAGCUGUUCCAAACUCUCAGGAUUCCUACACCUAUGAGCCUCUACCUGGUACCAGCAGUGGGAGAGCAAACAAUUCCUUCACAGUUCAUGGACAGACACACACAGCAGGAUAUGCAUGUUCAGCUGGACGAGGGGAUCCGCUGAUUUACACACAACACAGUCGUCCCACAUUUGUCUGGUCUUCAGGUGUUCAUCCAUCAGCGUCUCUCACAGUGAAUCCUGACAGAGUCCAACACUUCACCUCUGAAUCUCUCUCACUGACAUGUGAAGGAAACUCUUCCCAGUGGAGGCUGAUCCAGUUUCUGACUGACGACUCGCUGUUGAGCUUUCUUCCUCCAGCUACAAUCAAUGGAUCAACAUAUAUUAAGAAUGAGGCUCCAAGAAAAGCUGUGUACUGGUGUGAGUCUGGAACAGAGUUCAGCAAUGCAGUCAAUAUCUCCACACACUCUGAUGGCGUUAUCCUGGUGAGCCCUGUGUAUCCUGUACCUGUGGGAGAGUCUGUAACUCUCCUCUGUGUCAUGAAGACUGGAAAUAUUUCCUCUGAUGUGUUUUUCUACAAAAAU